rnacentral:rRNA from 1 species
UACGAAGGGGGCUAGCGUUGCUCGGAAUCACUGGGCGUAAAGCGCACGUAGGCGGAUUUGUAAGUCAGGGGUGAAAUCCCGGGGCUCAACCCCGGAACUGCCUUUGAUACUGCAAAUCUCGAGUCCGGAAGAGGUGAGUGGAAUUCCUAGUGUAGAGGUGAAAUUCGUAGAUAUUAGGAAGAACACCAGUGGCGAAGGCGGCUCACUGGUCCGGUACUGACGCUGAGGUGCGAAAGCGUGGGGAGCAAACAGG